rnacentral:rRNA from 1 species
GAUGAACGCUAGCUACAGGCUUAACACAUGCAAGUCGAGGGGCAGCAUUUUAGUUUGCUUGCAAACUAAAGAUGGCGACCGGCGCACGGGUGAAGUAACACGUAUCCAACCUGCCGAUAACUCGGGGAUAGCCUUUCGAAAGAAAGAUUAAUAUCCGAUAGUAUAUUAAAACCGCAUGGUUUUACUAUUAAAGAAUUUCGGUUAUCGAUGGGGAUGCGUUCCAUUAGUUUGUUGGCGGGGUAACGGCCCACCAAGACAACGAUGGAUAGGGGUUCUGAGAGGAAGGUCCCCCACAUUGGAACUGAGACACGGUCCAAACUCCUACGGGAGGCAGCAGUGAGGAAUAUUGGUCAAUGGACGAGAGUCUGAACCAGCCAAGUAGCGUGAAGGAUGACUGCCCUAUGGGUUGUAAACUUCUUUUGUAAGGGAAUAAAGGCCGGUACGUGUUACCGGUUUGCAGGUACCUUACGAAUAAGGAUCGGCUAACUCCGUG